UACAGAGGGUGCGAGCGUUUGUUCGGAAUUAUUGGGCGUAAAGGGCGCGUAGGCGGUGCGGUAAGUCACCUGUGAAAUCUCCUGGCUCAACUGGGAGGGUGCGCCGAAUACUGAAUGACUCGAGUGUGGGAGAGGUGAGUGGAAUUCCUGGUGUAGCGGUGAAAUGCGUAGAUAUCAGGAGGAACACCGGUGGUGUAGACGGCUCACUGGACCAUAACUGACGCUGAGACACGAAAGCGUGGGUAGCAAACGGG
rnacentral:rRNA from 1 species